AGCAGCCACCUUUAAAAAAGCGUUAAAGCUUCAUUGUUUAUUAAAAAAUUCCAUUAACUACAUAAAACCCUUAACUCUGUACUAAAUAAUUUUAUAACUAUAUAAAAGCCCGUAUGUUGGAACUAGUAACAAGAAGAAAUCCUUCUCCAAAAUGUAAGCAUAAGCCAGAAUGAACCCCUCACUGGCAAUUAAAGUCAAUAAAACCCUAGAAGUAACUUAUCAAGAAAACCCUUCUACUGUAAACGUUAACCUUACACCAGCACAUUUCUGGAAAGAAAAAAAGAGGGGGAAGGAACUCGGCAAAUAAUUUAACCCCGCCUGUUUACCAAAAACAUCGCCUCUUGCUAACUAUAAGAGGUCCAGCCUGCCCAGUGACAAAGUUAAACGGCCGCGGUACCCUAACCGUGCAAAGGUAGCGCAAUCACUUGUUCUUUAAAUGAGGACUAGUAUGAACGGCAUCACGAGGGUUAUACUGUCUCCCCCCUUUUUUCAGUGAAACUGAUCUUCCCGUGAAGAAGCGGGAAUAUUAAUAUAAGACGAGAAGACCCCAUGGAGCUUUAAACUCAGGAUCAACUGCCACAAACUUAACCUAAUAACCAUGCAGGAAUGACUUCUAGUUUUCGGUUGGGGUGACCGCGGAGUAAAAUAAAACCUCCACGACGAAAGGAACUAACCGCCUAAACCAAGAGCCACAGCUCUAAGUAUUAAAACAUUAACCUAAUUGAUCCAAUUACUUGAUCAACGAACCAAGUUACCCUGGGGAUAACAGCGCAAUCCAUUUCAAGAGCUCAUAUCGACAAAUGGGUUUACGACCUCGAUGUUGGAUCAGGAUAUCCAAGUGGCGCAGCCGCUACUAACGGUUC
rnacentral:rRNA from 1 species